rnacentral:rRNA from 1 species
GACGGGGGAUGCAAGUGUUAUCCGGAAUCACUGGGCGUAAAGCGUCUGCAGGUGGUUUCCUAAGUCCACUGUUAAACCUUGAGGCUCAACCUCAAAUCUGCAUUGGAAACUAGGAGACUUGAGUAUAGUAGGGGUAGAGGGAAUUUCCAGUGGAGCGGUGAAAUGCGUAGAUAUUGGAAAGAACACCGGUGGCGAAGGCGCUCUGCUAGGCCGCAACUGACACUGAGGGACGAAAGCUAGGGGAGCGAAUGGG